rnacentral:rRNA from 1 species
AUCUACAGCUAUACUAACCUGAACACACCCAAUCUCAUCUGAUCUUGGAAGCUAAGCAGAGUUAGUCCUGGUUAGUACUUGGAUGAGAGACAGUGUGGGCUUGAGGACGCGAAUC